rnacentral:rRNA from 1 species
AUUGAACGCUGGCGGCAGGCUUAACACAUGCAAGUCGAGCGAGCGGCGGACGGGUGAGUAAUGUCUGGGAAACUGCCUGAUGGAGGGGGAUAACUACUGGAAACGGUAGCUAAUCCCGCAUACCAUCGGAUGUUCCCAGGUGGGAUUAGCUCGUGGGGGGGGUAAUGGCUCACCUGGGCGACGAUCCCUAGCUGGUCUGAGAGGGUGACCAGCCACACUGGAACUGAGACACGGCCCAUACGCCUACGGGAGGCAGCAGUGGGGAAUAUUGCACAAUUGGCGCAAGCCGGAUGCAGCCAUGCCGCGUGUGUGAAGAAGGCCUUCGGGUUGUAAAGCACUUUCAGCGAGGAGGCGUUACUCGCAGAAGAAGCACCGGCUAACUCCGUGCCAGCAGCCGCGGUAAUUC